rnacentral:tRNA from 1 species
GGAGAGAUGGCUGAGUGGCUUAAAGCGGUGGUCUCGAAAACCAUUGUACUUUUUAUAGAGUACCGGGGGUUCAAAUCCCCCUCUCUCCG